rnacentral:rRNA from 1 species
GUCCACGCCGUAAACGAUGAGAACUAGGUGUUGCGGGUAUUGACCCCUGCAGUGCCGCAGCUAACGCAUUAAGUUCUCCGCCUGGGAAGUACGGUCGCAAGACUAAAACUCAAAGGAAUUGACGGGGCCCGCACAAGCGGUGGAGCAUGUGGUUUAAUUCGACGCAACGCGCAGAACCUUACCUGGUCUUGACAUCUACGGAACCCUCCCGAAAAGGAGGGGUGCCUUUCGGGGAGCCGUAAGACAGGUGCUGCAUGGCUGUCGU